rnacentral:tRNA from 3 species
GCCGGGGUGGCGGAACUGGCAGACGCACAGGACUUAAAAUCCUGCGAUCCCUUCGAUCGUACCGGUUCGAUUCCGGUCCUCGGCACCA